rnacentral:tRNA from 1 species
GUGCGCAUAGCUCAGCUGGAUAGAGUACCUGGCUACGAACCAGGCGGUCGGAGGUUCGAAUCCUCCUGCGCCCACCA